CCCGGGCAGAAUCAGUGCUAUAUUUGUGCAUGAAUGACCUAAGGACAUCCUUCCCGACUUCUUUCUCAGAAUUAGGAAACCCUGCUUAGUAUUCAAAUCUCACUGUUCAUAGUGAGUCAUUUUAUCCAGUCAUUAAAAUAUCAAGACCUACGCAUCACACUGAUGAAAUUUAAUAUUAAGGAAGAUAAUGAAAUAGAUUUAAAUAUGUUUAAAAUGUGUAUUUUAAAAUGUGUUUAAAAUAUGUAUUUGAAAUGUUUGUUUCUUUUUUUUCCCAAAAGGUAUAUGAAAUAAUAUUUAUUUAUUAUUUAUUUUUAUUUUUUAAAUUUACAUCCAAGUUAGUUAGCAUAUACUGCCAUAAUGAUUUCAGGAGAAGAAUCCAGUGGUUCAUCCCCUACAUAUGACACCCAGGGCUCAUCCCAACAUUUAGCCCAUUCCUCAAUGCCCCUUGCCUAUUUAGCCCAUCCGCCACCCCAACCCCUCCAGCAACCAACCCCGCGUUUGUUCUCUAUAUUUAAGAGUCUCUUAUGUUUUGUCCCUCUCCCUGUUUUUAUAUUAUUUUUGCUCCCCUUCCCCUAUGUUCAUCUGUUUUGUAUCUUAACUUCUACAUGUAAGUGAAGUCAUAUGAUAUUUGUCUUUUUCUGACUAAUUUCACUUAUCAUAAUACCCUCUAGUUCAAUCCACGUUGUUGCAAAUGGCAAGAUUUCAUUCUUUAUGAUUGCCGAGUAAUACUCCAUUAUAUAUAUAUACACCACAUCUUCUUAUUCCAUUCAUCUGUCAAUGGACAUUUGGGCUCUUUCCAUACUUUGGCUAUUGUUGAUAGUGCUGCUAUAAACAUUGGGGUGCAUGUGUCCCUUCAAAACAGCACACCUGUAUCCUUUGGUUAAAUACCUAGUAGUGCAAUUGCUGGGUCAUAGGGUAGUUCUAUUUUUAGUUUUUGAGGAACUCCAUACUGUUUUCCAGAGUGGCUGCACCAGUUUGCAUUCCCACCAGCAGUGCAAAAGAGAUCCUCUUUCUCCACAUCCUGGCCAACAUCUGUUGUUGCCUGAGUUGUUAAUGUUAGCCAUUCUGACAGGUGUAAGGUGGUAUCUCAUUGUGGUUUUGAUUUGUAUUUCCCUGAUGAUGAGUGAUGUUGAGCAUUUUUUCAUGUGUCGGUUGGCCAUCUGGAUGUCUUCUUUGGAGAAGUGUCUAUUCAUGUCUUUUGCCCAUUUCUUCACUGGAUUAUUUGUUUUUUGGGUGUUGAGUUUGAUAAGUUCUUUAUAGAUUUUGGAUACUAACCCUUUAUCUGAUAUGUCAUUUGCAAAUAUCUUCUCCCANUGUUUUGUCCCCCUCCCUGUUUUUAUAUUAUUUUUGUUUCCCUUCCCUUAUGUUCAUCUGUUUUGUCUCUUAAAGUCCUCAUAUGAGUGAAGUCAUAUGAUAUUUGUCUUUCUCUGACUAAUUUCACUUAGCAUAAUACCCUCCAGUUCCAUCCACGUAGUUGCAAAUGGCAAGAUUUCAUUCUUUAUGAUUGCCGAGUAAUACUCCAUUAUAUAUAUACACCACAUCUUCUUAUUCCAUUCAUCUGUCAAUGGACAUUUGGGCUCUUUCCAUACUUUGGCUAUUGUUGAUAGUGCUGCUAUAAACAUUGGGGUGCAUGUGUCCCUUCAAAACAGCACACCUGUAUCCUUUGGUUAAAUACCUAGUAGUGCAAUUGCUGGGUCAUAGGGUAGUUCUAUUUUUAGUUUUUGAGGAACUCCAUACUGUUUUCCAGAGUGGCUGCACCAGUUUGCAUUCCCACCAGCAGUGCAAAAGAGAUCCUCUUUCUCCACAUCCUGGCCAACAUCUGUUGUUGCCUGAGUUGUUAAUGUUAGCCAUUCUGACAGGUGUAAGGUGGUAUCUCAUUGUGGUUUUGAUUUGUAUUUCCCUGAAGAUGAGUGAUGUUGAGCAUUUUUUCACGUGUCUGUUAGCCAUCUGGAUGUCUUCUUUGGAAAGUGUCUAUUCAUGUCUUUUGCCCAUGAAAUGUUUAUUUCUAAGUUUCAAUGACUAAAAUUGCCAUUUAA
rnacentral:lncRNA from 1 species